AAAUAUUAUUUAAAUCUUCAGAAAUGACCCACAAUUUCACCUGUCAAUGGUGCCUAAGCCACGCAUAGGUAAGAGAGCCCUUCAUGCAAAAUGGUAGAUGCCCCCUUUCCUAUUGGCAGGGAGACACUCGGGGCUUUCCAGGAUCAAGUAGGAAACCUGAUAAAAUGAAAUAAACAGUCGUGCUACAAGAAUUCUACAUCAAAAAGUUUUUGUUGCCCCAAGACUGAAUAUCCUGAGGUUCAUUUAUUCAGCUUCCAAGGCACAAACUCUCAAUGUCAACUGCUAAAAAAAGGUGUUUGGGAUUUAUAAAAAGAAGCAAAACCAAAGAAUGCAUGACCAAAACAGGACAUGGAUAAAAAAACCUUCCUUCAGAACUGUGUGAGGUGCCUGGGUGUCCACAUUUGCAAAACGGGGCCGAUUCUGGUCAAUAAUGAUAAGGAGAACUGGCUUGAGCCAAUCUGCGUCUGAAUUUGCCUGAUAAAAUUUGUUUUUGUGGAAGUGCACAUGAUAGCAGUUAGAGUGAGAGGGCUGUUUACGGAUGGAGGCCGAGGCGGAUUGCUAUCCCUGCCUGAAAUCAGGGGAAGAACAGGGCUGUCAUUAGGUUGUGGGCCAUAAUGGUUUGCAGCACAUUGGCCAGACUGGUGAGGAUGAAUCUGUUCUAAGUUUAGUUUUCACUUAACGUAAAUCAGAAGCAAUUAUUAAAUUAAGUUACUUCAAGUAUUUAAAUAUUUACUGAAAUAAGAAAAGGGAGGAUCUUUGCCGAGCUUUGGGAACUCAAGAGUCUUCCUCUGAUAGUAGUUACUUACCACUUUUUUUCACAAGAUGACGUAAGGUGGUUAUUUUUUUCUUCUAAUUUUGCAACAUCCCACAGUGAAACUGCCACCUACGUUUCAUGGAGCAGUUCUGGUCGGGGAGAUGUGAUAAAUCUAGUUGAACCAUGCUCUGUCCCCCGUUGGAACUGUUCAACAGUGCAGGAGGAAGCUUCAUGACUCCAAAAAAGGCUGAGAGACAUCCAUCCAGAGACUUCCAGCCUUAGCAGAAGCUUGGGCAACUGGUGGCACUUAGACCCUCAGUAAAUCACUGCACAUCCCUAAUCCAACAAAGAUGAGGACUGGAAGAAUAUUACAAGAUAAAAUCAGAUUGGUCAAAUGUCUUAGCAAACGACAAAACUCUCUUACAACUCAGAAAAAAGUCCUGGAGAAGUUCUUUUGGAAAAUUACACACUUCCCAGUGUGGAAAGUCUACUCAUUUAUGUGUAUGUUUUCUUCAUUCCGUGUCUUGUACGUGGGGAGCAGAAGGAAGUUUGUGAGAUCUCAAAUCAGUUCCAAUAGAUUUGUGUAAGUAGAGUGGGGAAUCUAAUACUUUGUGGCACAAAAUUGGGAUUAAAACAUAUGGUCUGGAUACAGACCGUCCUUUUGGGCUGCCACUGUGUAAAGGGCCAGUGGUUUGUUGUAAAAACGGAAAGAAAACUCCUAAAGAAAAGCUUGUGUUUUGUUUUAUUUUGUCCUUUGCUGUGAUUUUUGCACUGUUUGAACACUGAGCUGAAGAAGGCUGUCUCCCAGUUUUCAGCAUCCUUUUGCAGUUCACGAGUGAGGGGGUGUCUGCCUGGAGGCUGGCAGGGCCGCGCGUGCCGUACCCCCCUGCAUCUGCAAGGGCUGUAAGCAGACACCGCCGCUGAAAAUAGGAUCCACAAAAGGUGUUGCCAAGUGAGUGUGCGUGUGAAAACAGUUUUGUGCAGUGCAGUUUCAAACUCCUCUGUCUGGUAUGGAGAAAGAAGAAAUCAGAACUAUUCCUAUUAUUGUAAAUUAACUUUUGUAGUUAUUUACACCUACCUUGAAAGGGAAAAUCUUUGGAGCUAGUUUAUUUUGUGUGUAUCAGAGCUGACAGCACUCACAUUCUUCUGUGUCUAGACACAAUGAACUUCAAAUGUUCCACAGUUCUGGGGUUAACAACCUCCUGCCUUUAGAAGGAUAAAAAGUGUUAAUAAUCCACAGAAUGCAGUGGGUGUUUACUAUUAUAUUCUACUUCCUGUUACUGCGGUCUAAAAAAGAAAAAGUCACUGAGCUAAUUAAAUUAUAUAAGGAAGACAUUAAAAACCAAUAUUAAAAGAAAAUAGGUUUUGACUACUGUCUGUAUUUAUGCUGAAAUGAUGAUGAGUAAUAGGAUUCAGGUUUCAUUUGUUCAACAUCCACAAGAUAAUGUGCGUGCUCAGCAAAAGAAAAAUACACAUCCAGGCACCAAACUGCUACCUGGAAGCAAUUUCACACCGAAUGACAACAUAUGAAGCUUGGUUUUUCACACUGGAUGAACUUCUGGCUCACCAUUGCCUGGCUUUGUCACUAACAGCCCAGGGCAGUAAGUGAAACAGAACUAAGAGUUUGAUGCUGUUGUAAAAGCAGAGUGAAGCAGCAGCCAGUGCCUGCUGGAAGCACAACGUUCCUUCCAGCACAAUGCAAAGAAACUGCAAAGUCAUUUCGCUGAAAUUUUAAUGAACUUAAAUGAGACCAGUGCUGUUUGAUGGACUUUACGCGAUGCUCGGAAGCUCCCCCUCUCGCAGAAUGACUUGUCGUGGCUUGGCUUGGUUUGGUUAUUUUCAUUAGCACUUUGCAUCUGCCUCUUCUGAAUGCCAGGGUGGAUGCAGCUGAGCAAAAAUAACCCGGCUUGUGCUUGACUUUGUUCCAAGCUGGGAAGGGCCACGCUCUGAGCCCCAGAGAGGGAUCUCUGCCGCCGUGUGACGUCGUGGUGAAAUAACGAUGGGCACAGGCCUGUCACAGCAUUGGCUUCAGACAUCCAGUCCUAGAAGUUCUCUUCUCCAGGUGUUAAGAGUUAUGUCCUUCCUAUUGCUGUCGUUACCCACACAAACCCAAAUGAAUAAUUUCUGUCUUCUGGAUAUUUUCAAGAAAAGUAUUCUUUUUCCUCUCUUGCUGCUCCAGUUUUGGCCCUCGUUUGAUCCUCAGACAAGUCUAAACUACCUUUGUUUUGACUUGAUGCCUGGGCCAACUUUUAAUGUCAGUGUCAUAUAAAGAGAUAUCUGCAUUUCCAGUGUUGGACUGGCCCAGAGCAGGGUUUCAGGCGAUGUAGUUUUAUGUGGUAUGAACUAUUAGCUCAAAAUGUGCAUGUUUAAUCCCUGGUUCUGAGUAUUAGUAUUUAAUUUCUUAAAAGUCAGAGCCUACUCUAAAAAAAAAAGGCACUGAAGUCCCAAGCAAGAUUUGCAAGAGGCAGUGGACAGAGGGCAUGUUGCUAUCAUGGGUAAAUGAUCUGAGGUGUAGGGAUUUAGUGCCACAGGACAUCAGAAACCAAAGUAGUAGCAGUUAAAGAAAGGUGUGUCUGGAGUAGCAGAGGAUGCCCAUCAAUCCAGGGAGGGAAUGCAGUACGGAAGAGCGAGGAGGGAGCUCACAGGUAGGAAGAAGUUAGCAGUGCAUCUCUUGGAAAAUUUUAACCAAAAAAAAAAAAAGUGAAAGGCUUAUUUCUGUUCUUAUAGGAUUACCUGAUGCAAUCUAAAGCACAAAAUAAUUCAUUUCAGGAAGAGAUUGCUUGUCAGCUCAAGGUGCUCUGCUGUCGGGAGUUCCAAAAGCAGGUUUCUGUCUUGCCAUGCUUUACUUUUUGAAGGCCCCGAUGCAGCAAAGUGCUUGGGCAGGUAUUUUAUUCAGUACCUGAAUGGAAGGGAUAGAGGAAUGACUUUAAAUAGGUGGCUUAAUCUCUGCUUUUCAAGAGAGGAGGGAGUUAAGAAGAAAGUUUCUGCUAAUUUGUUGGCAGAACAAUAAUUUAAAACAUCCUGUAUACAUAUAUUUUCAGGUUUCUCUGAAAAGUCCCACCUGUAGAGCAACAGUUUUAUUUUUAUAUAUGUAAAUUACAUUAUAUGUGUGUUUGUUGUAUAUGUUGUUAUUAUAUAUCUAGAUAUAUAAAGAAACUGCAGAUAAAUACAGAGUCUCAGUGCCCUAGGGGUGAAGUACUAAGAACGUUGAUAUGUCACUGUCAGGAUCUCCACGUCAAUUGUUCUCCCAAGUGGAUCAUAUUCAACUCCCUCAAAAAAUCAGAGGAACCUUUUCUAUUACUUUAGUCAUAGGCACCGACUUUAAGAAAUUAAAUACUAAUACUCAAAAUCAGGGAUUAAACAUGCACAUUUUGAUGUAUGCAAGACAUAACCAGUAAUUGAUACCAAGUACUUGGCCUCAGCAGAACAACAAAGGAGAGUGGGCAAAGUGUUCCCAGUGCCCAAAGUGGCUGGUUCUGACACCCCUAUACCUUAGCCUAUUGUGAAGUUUAGAUGUAAGUAAUUUUUGUUAAUGUUGAAGCCGUUUCAUAUCCCAGAAAUACUCCAGUGCUCACAGAGCUACAGAGCCUGGCAGAAGGACAGUUUAGAUUUGGAGCCGGUGGAUCCGUGCACACCAAUAACAAUCACAAAUACAGUGGCUUUGGUGUAUAAAAUCAAAGUAUGCUGAUCCAGAUCAGUUUGCAGGACUGGAAACUUUGAACAAAAUCACAAGUUCCGCUUGAUGGAACCAUUUUUGAGCAACUUUUAAUUCAUGUGACAAACGUUUGAAGAAUUGAACAGUUUUAUCAUUAAAUGAUGUUUUCUUUUAAAUGAAAAUAAAAGAUGUUUUCUAAAUGCACGACAAUAAAGGCUGAUAUCUUAGUUA